AUUGAACGCUGGCGGCAGGCCUAACACAUGCAAGUCGAGCGGAUGAAGGGAGCUUGCUCCUGGAUUCAGCGGCGGACGGGUGGGUAAUGCCUAGGAAUCUGCCUGGUAGUGUGGGAUAACGUCCGGAAACGGGCGCUAAUACGGCAUACGUCCUGAGGGAGAAAGUGUGGGAUCUUCGGACCUCACGCUCUCAGAUGAGCCUAGGUCGGAUUAGCUAGUUGGUGGGGUAAAGGCCUACCAAGGCGACGAUCCGUAACUGGUCUGAGAGGAUGAUCAGUCACACUGGAACUGAGACACGGUCCAGACUCCUACGGGAGGCAGCAGUGGGGAAUAUUGGACAAUGGGCGCAAGCCUGAUCCAGCCAUGCCGCGUGUGUGAAGAAGGUCUUCGGAUUGUAAAGCACUUUAAGUUGGGAGGAAGGGCAGUAAGUUAAUACCUUGCUGUUUUGACGGUACCAACAGAAUAAGCACCGGCUAACUUCGUG
rnacentral:rRNA from 1 species